rnacentral:rRNA from 1 species
GACGAACGCUGGCGGCGUGCCUAAUACAUGCAAGUAGAACGCUGAAGGAGGAGCUUGCUUCUCUGGAUGAGUUGCGAACGGGUGAGUAACGCGUAGGUAACCUGCCUGGUAGCGGGGGAUAACUAUUGGAAACGAUAGCUAAUACCGCAUAAUAGCAGUUGUUGCAUGACAACUGUUUGAAAGGUGCAAUUGCACCACUACCAGAUGGACCUGCGUUGUAUUAGCUAGUUGGUGGGGUAACGGCUCACCAAGGCGACGAUACAUAGCCGACCUGAGAGGGUGAUCGGCCACACUGGGACUGAGACACGGCCCAGACUCCUACGGGAGGCAGCAGGAGGGAAUCUUCGGCAAGGGACGGAAGUCUGACCGAGCAACGCCGCGUGAGUGAAGAAGGUUGUCGGAUCGUAAAGCUCUGUUGUAAGAGAAGAACGAGUGUGAGAGUGGAAAGUUCACACUGUGACGGUAUCUUACCAGAAAGGGACGGCUAACUACGUG